UAAAAGGGUCGGUUGGCUAAAUAUGCCGCUCUUGCCCGCGUUGGUGAGAGCUGUAUGGCUAUCAAGACAUAUGGCCGACAUAAUUUGUGGAGCCUGUAGGGUUGGUUCGCUGGGCCGACCCUCCA